rnacentral:rRNA from 1 species
GACGAACGCUGGCGGCGUGCCUAAUACAUGCAAGUCGAGCGGAACUGGGGGAGCUUGCUCCUUCCAGUUUAGCGGCGGACGGGUGAGUAACACGUGGGCAACCUGCCCUGCAGAUCGGGAUCACUCCGGGAAACCGGUGCUAAUCCCGCAUAGUUUGGGGCCUCUCCUGAGGCGCUACGGAAAGACGGUUCAGGCUGUCCGUCCAGGUUGGGACAGCGGCGCAUUAGCUAGUUGGUGGGGUAACGGCCCACCAAGGCGACGAUGCGUAGCCGACCUGAGAGGGUGACCGGCCACACUGGGACUGAGACACGGCCCAGACUCCUACGGGAGGCAGCAGUAGGGAAUCUUCCGCAAUGGACGCAAGUCUGACGGAGCAACGCCGCGUGAGUGACGAAGGUUUUCGGAUCGUAAAACUCUGUUGUGAGGGAAGAACACGUACCAACUAACUAUUGGUACCUUGACGGUACCUCACCAGAAAGCCACGGCUAACUACGUGCCAGCAGCCGCAGUAA